rnacentral:rRNA from 1 species
AUUGAACGCUGGCGGAAUGCUUUACACAUGCAAGUCGAACGGCAGCACGGGGGCAACCCUGGUGGCGAGUGGCGAACGGGUGAGUAAUACAUCGGAACGUGCCCAGUCGUGGGGGAUAACGUAGCGAAAGUUACGCUAAUACCGCAUACGAUCUCCGGAUGAAAGCGGGGGACCGUAAGGCCUCGCGCGAUUGGAGCGGCCCAUGUCAGAUUAGGUAGUUGGUGAGGUAAAGGCUCACCAAGCCGGCGAACUGUAGCUGGUCUGAGAGGACGACCAGCCACACUGGGACUGAGACACAGCCCAGACUCCUACGGGAGGCAGCAGUGGGGAAUUUUGGACAAUGGGCGCAAGCCUGAUCCAGCCAUUCCGCGUGCAGGACGAAGGCCUUCGGGUUGUAAACUGCUUUUGUACGGAACGAAAGGGCUCUGGUUAAUACCUGGGGCUCAUGACGGUACCGUAAGAAUAAGCACCGGCUAACUACGUGCCAGCAGCCGCCGUAA